rnacentral:rRNA from 1 species
UUUCCGGUUGAUCCUGCCGGACCCUACUGCUAUCGGGGUGGGACUAAGACAUGCAAGUCGUGCGUCUCUAAGCCAUGGUAGAGACGCGGCGUACGGCUCAGUAACACGUGGCUAACCUACCCUUAGAACGGAGGCAACCCCGGGAAACUGGGGCUAAUACCCGAUAGGUGAGGAGGCCUGGAAUGGUUCUUCGCUGAAAAGGCGUUGGAACCAUGCUUUUCAACGUCGCCUAAGGAUGGGGCCGCGCCCGAUCAGGUUGUUGGUGGGGUAACGGCUCACCAAGCCUAUAACCGGUACGGGCCGUGAGAGCGGGAGCCCGGAGAUGGGCACUGAGACAAGGGCCCAGGCCCUACGGGGCGCAGCAGUCGCGAAAACUCCGCAAUGCGCGAAAGCGUGACGGGGCUACCCCGAGUGCCGUCCGCUGAGGAUGGCUUUUCCCCGGUGUAAUGAGCCGGGGGAAUAAGGAGAGGGCAAGUCUGGUGUCAGCCGCCGCGGUAAUACCAGCUCUCCGAGUAGUAGGGAUGAUUAUUGGGCUUAAAGCGUCCGUAGCCGGCUUAGCAAGUCUCCUGUUAAAUUCAGCGACCUAAUCGUUGAGCCGCGGGAGAUACUACUAGGCUAGGAGGCGGGAGAGGCCGACGGUAUUCCCGGGGUAGGGGUGAAAUCCUAUAAUCCCGGGAGGACCACCAGUGGCGAAGGCUGUCGGCUAGAACGCGCUCGACGGUGAGGGACGAAAGCUGGGGGAGCGAACCGGAUUAGAUACCCGGGUAGUCCCAGCUGUAAACGAUGCGGGCUAGGUGUUGAGGUGGCUACGAGCCACUUCAGUGCCGCAGGGAAGCCAUUAAGCCCGCCGCCUGGGGAGUACGGCCGCAAGGCUGAAACUUAAAGGAAUUGGCGGGGGAGCACCACAAGGCGUGAAGCUUGCGGUUCAAUUGGAGUCAACGCCGGGAA